AUGCCAGACUCCUACGGGAGGCAGCAGUGGGGAAUAUUGCACAAUGGGGGAAACCCUGAUGCAGCGACGCCGCGUGAGCGAAGAAGUCUUUCGGUAUGUAAAGCUCUAUCAGCAGGGAAGAAAAUGACGGUACCUGACUAAGAAGCCCCGGCUAAAUACGUGCCAGCAGCCGCGGUAAUACGUAUGGGGCAAGCGUUAUCCGGAUUUACUGGGUGUAAAGGGAGCGCAGGCGGCUUGGCAAGUCUGAUGUGAAAGGCUGGGGCUCAACCCCAGGACUGCAUUGGAAACUGUUAGGCUGGAGUGUCGGGGAGGUAAGCGGAAUUCCUAGUGUAGCGGUGAAAUGCGUAGAUAUUAGGAGGAACACCAGUGGCGAAGGCGGCCUGCUGGACGAUGACUGACGUUGAGGCUCGAAAGCGUGGGGAGCAAACAGGAUUAGAUACCCGAGUA
rnacentral:rRNA from 1 species